GCCAAGUGCCACCACUCGUUCCGGCGUACGCGCGGUGAGCACCGCUCGCCCGCGCCGGGUGGCGCGGAGGCUGAAGCGGUCGAGUGCAAGCCGGUGCCAGCACCGCGCAUAACGCGUGGAGGGGCGCGCCGAGCACCAACAGGCCCAUCUUCGCCUCCCCUCUCUUUUCCUUCUUCAACCGGCGACAGCGCGUCCUUCGGCUUCGGCUUCGACUCUGGCGCUCCUCCGCCGCCCCGCCACCGGCCCGUCGACCAGUACGUGUCCCGUAGAUGCGGACUUCACCGCCGUCCCCGGAGGCGCGGAUGACGCCGCCGUCCUCGGAGAAGCGCACGCAACUGCCCGUCGACCAGUACUUGUCGCCAGAGAUGCGGACGUCACCGUCGUCCCCGGAGACGCGUCCCCAGAAGCGAGGACACCGCUGACGUCGUCGACGGCACGCCGUCACCCGCCGACGAGUCGACCAGUGUAGAAAUUGUUCGGACAAGGUGAAACUAUUGAGAGCGCAAUAACUUUUUUUCUCCUCUGUAAGAAAUUUGUGUCCUAAUCUCUUUGUCGGUAGAAUUGCAGAUUUUCAGCUCCUCUGGGACCAGUCAAUUUGUCUUGACUCUCAGAGGUGACAGAGAGGUGGACAUGGGCGCGACGCUGCAGGAAUUUGAUAUAUGUGCUAUAUAAUGUAAGGGACAAGUCAAUGUGUCUCUUGAGCUGGUAGGUUAAUUUGAGCUGAAUUUUGUUAAUUGGUUACAAAUCCUAUAACACAGUUCAAAUAAGCUUCAUAAAUUGUUAAAACAGAUGAACAUGUGUGCAGAGUUCAUGGGACUCCACAUCUCUAUCGGUCUAUCCAAGCUUGUGCUUUAGGUACAGAUGACUAACUGCAUGUGUGUUUAUCUUACAAUUCCAGCUCCAUGUGUUGCAAUUAAAUUAUACUUGGUGGCCAAUAUUUCAUCAGUACUGUUUGAGAUGUUUAAUUACAAUCUUACAAUGCCAGAGGUAAUGCCAUAUUUCAUCGUUCCUAAAUAUUUCAUCAGUUCUUUCCUAAGUGUUUAAUUUAUGUUCAUGUUUGUUGACGGUGAGUUAUACUACAGCAGCAGCUUUCCCAAUUUAAGGUAAUUUGAGAUGUUAACUUAUUUUGCUCAUAGCUAUCUGAUUGCCUCUUGAUUUACUUAUGAUUGGGAUUUGGAGAUGGUGGAAGGUGGAGUCCUGGGAAGAGUUUGUGACUUUCUCUAGGCAAAGAUAAUGAGAUGUGCUAUGCUUGCAGUGAUAUAUGAUAGGGAAAAAUGUGCUUGCAUUCAUGGUUAAUAAACGAUCUUUCAUUUGUAGGGACAUGAAUAGUUUAAACAAAUAGUAUAUCAUCUUAUCGACGCAGUUUUCAUGGUUACAAUAAUAGUUGGUGUUACAUCUAUAAUUCUCAGUAAGCAGUUUAAUGAGGAUUUAGAUGCCUUCACCUGACCUGGUAUGUUUCUAGAAAUUAAGACAAAUAUAUAAUUUUGCAGUGCUAUAAGAAAUGCUUUGCUGUGAUAGAAUUUUUUUACUUUCUGUCAGUAGUCUUGGCUAUGUUUGAGUAAAUCAAAAUAGUAUGAAAAAACAGACCCUAUUUCUUAAUAGCUGUGGAGAUGCUACCUUUGCAGGAGGUACAUCCUUGACUGCUAUCAGCACUUAUUGGCCUUCUGGCUUGCACGCAUAGUACUGCUUCCAUUGUUCAUGACUGCAUUGAACAAGGGUUCAAAGGGGACAAACUUCUAUAUAGACUAGGCCUUAGGGUCGAAUAAUGCAUCUUCCUGAUUUGCUGCAUUAUUCAUAUCAUCAGGAUGAAUGGUUAAAUUUCCCUAAUAUGUGUACAGCAGGGCUAGCACGCCUCGAUUGGCAUCAUGGAAAAGGACAGACCCAGUGCUGGUGAUUGGCAUCAUGGAGCUUUCAAAAAUUGCCCCACAAUCCAAAGUUUGUGGCUUCUAGGGUAUCUAAUAUAACUUAAGCUUCUACAGUAUCUUUUAUGCAAUAGUAACAGCAUAAGAAUUUGGUAAUGAGGUCUCACCGAUGCAUUUUGUUUUUAGUAGACAUAGGCAUGAUUCAUCAUGGUCUUCCACAUUAGGAACUUGGGUAUCUGUUGAAAAGUUUUUUGUGGAACACACACUUUGCCAUUCGUCAACUUUUAUUGACUUCUAUGGGAACAACAAUACUAUCCGAACGUUAGGUAUCACAGGUUCACUUGGUGAUGCAUGCCAUUGUGAAUGUUAUUCUGUGCUUUUAGCUACAAAGGGCACACUUUGCCAUUCUGUGCUUUUAGCUACAACCACUAAAAAAUAUUGUAGCUAGAUAAAUUAAUUCCCUCAGUUGUUUCACCAUGUCUUUCAAAUUUUUAUAUGGUAACAGCAAAUUGCAUAACUAACUGUUUUCUAAGUUCUGGUUAUAUUAAGAAUAUCUUUUUAUUGCUUUGCUGUCCUGUAUAUCCUAUUGAGAUCACAAGCUUCAAGACACUAUUGAUGAAUACAUGGACACCUUGAUUUGGCGAGGAAAAAAGAUUAGUCACGGAUGGGAACCUUGCAUCGAGAGGAAAACAUUUUUGUGAUUGAAAAAAAUUGGGGCUGGUUCAUUUUGUCGAGGAGAUUACUUGUGGUGGUUGCAAAUUCAUUUUUUCAGAAAAUUCAUUAGGCAUAGGGAGGUAGAUUGGUUUGUUCACAUGAGGCUGAAGUUUGAUAUAUAUGUAUGGAGCUUUGCUUUGCAGAGGCAGAUGGCCCUCAAUUGAGCUGUAGUGUAGAGUUGGGAACUAUAUUUGUGAAAAUUUUGUUUGUGUGAAAAGUGUCCAUAUAUAAGUGUGAGAUGAAUUUCAGAUUACCUGUUGUGGA